AUUGUACUAAGAUAGCAUCGAGUAGAUUGCUCGACCAAUCAGAGCGAAGGAAGCACAGAUCUCUUCGUCCCGAUUGGUCGAUCGAAUAAUCUCCAAGUCGAGUGCACAAAAGUUCGUCCGAAGUGCACCGAAGCUUUCCGAAAAGUGGAGCCAACCGGAAGUCGGGACUUCUCUUGUGUUAGACACGUGAAUGUUUUAGCGUGCUGGUUCAGCGCUGAUCAGUUUUAUUCGAAUACAAAUUGGUUAUCUCGACCAGGACGAGAAUUCAAUCAUGGCUACCACCAAGGUGGAUAAUCCUGAAAAGCCAGGGCAGGAAGUCACUCCCAUUCAUCGCAUUAGAAUUACACUUACAUCUCGCAAUGUUCGUUCCUCGAGAAAGUGUGUGCUGAAUUAAUCAAUGGAGCUAAGAAGCAGAAGUUGAAGGUUAAGGGACCUGUUCGCAUGCCGAC